rnacentral:rRNA from 1 species
ACGGGUGAGUAAUGCCUAGGAAUCUGCCUGGUAGUGGGGGAUAACGUUCGGAAACGAACGCUAAUACCGCAUACGUCCUACGGGAGAAAGCAGGGGACCUUCGGGCCUUGCGCUAUCAGAUGAGCCUAGGUCGGAUUAGCUAGUUGGUGAGGUAAUGGCUCACCAAGGCGACGAUCCGUAACUGGUCUGAGAGGAUGAUCAGUCACACUGGAACUGAGACACGGUCCAGACUCCUACGGGAGGCAGCAGUGGGGAAUAUUGGACAAUGGGCGAAAGCCUGAUCCAGCCAUGCCGCGUGUGUGAAGAAGGUCUUCGGAUUGUAAAGCACUUUAAGUUGGGAGGAAGGGCCAUUACCUAAUACGUGAUGGUUUUGACGUUACCGACAGAAUAAGCACCGGCUAACUCUGUGCCAGCAGCCGCGGUAAUACAGAGGGUGCAAGCGUUAAUCGGAAUUACUGGGCGUAAAGCGCGCGUAGGUGGUUCGUUAAGUUGGAUGUGAAAUCCCCGGGCUCAACCUGGGAACUGCAUUCAAAACUGUCGAGCUAGAGUAUGGUAGAGGGUGGUGGAAUUUCCUGUGU